rnacentral:tRNA from 1 species
UGGGGCGUGGCCAAGUGGUAAGGCAACGGGUUUUGGUCCCGCUAUUCGGAGGUUCGAAUCCUCCUGUCCCAG